rnacentral:tRNA from 1 species
GGAGAGGCGGUCGAACCCGUCGAUUGGAAAUCGUGUACGGGGCAACCCGUCGCGGGUUCAAAUCCCGCCCUCUCCGCCA